GUGAGGCGUUGGAAGUAGGGUUCGUCGGAAGGUGGAAGAGGGCCGGAGAGGUUGGAGGCAGCGAUAACAGGGGGGUGGACGGGUGGACGGUUGGACGGGUGGUCGGGCGGUCGGGUAACGGGGUAGGGUGGCGUAACCGGGUUGGGAACGGGGGCGAAGUAAGAGGUGGAGGCAGAAGCAGCGGCAGAGGCAGAGGCAGAGGAGGAGUGGCAGGCUACAGACGCGGGGCGCGACAUGCUUUAUGACGUCUGUUCAUCACAUCGCCCCAGUCUCAUAAAUUAGAAAUCACCCCUUAGAUAGCUGGCACCCAUCUACGAUGGCGUCAGUGCCGUAUCGUGGGAGGCAGGGAUCGCCUCCGACUCGUCCGACCC
rnacentral:misc_RNA from 1 species